rnacentral:ncRNA from 1 species
GACUACCUUGAAAAGUCGUACAACUGCCGAAACAAUCUUUUUCGUUACUAUUAUAAUUAAAAUGGUCGAUGGCGGUUUGUCUCUGGAAAUCAGAGAGAAAGACUUGAAUAGGUAUAGGGAAUGCAUGUGAAUGCGUUCCGGGAG